rnacentral:lncRNA from 1 species
GUUUACAUAAAAAUGUGGAUGUUCAGUUUCUCCUGAGGAGCCUGAAGCUCUGGAUCCCUGAGCCAGCAGUGUCGGGCUGGGGUUGAGCACAGGCCGUCCCCCAGAGCUCUGACCUCUUUGUAGCGGCCCCCACCCCUCCCCCCGCAAGCUCUCCCCACGCUGAGGUCAAGUGUCAGUUGCCAUUUGUCAUCAAGUCUGCCCAGUUGACCUUCUAUCUGGAGAUUUAAGAAGAAAGGAGUAUGUUUCUCAGAGCUCCUCUUUAUUGAAAACAGGCAAACAAAACAGACCAAGAGGCAGAAAAGACGGGAGAGAGACUAUUUCUUGAGACAUGGAGACAAUUCCCACGCGGUUAAUAUGCAAGCAAAGCGUGUCUGCCUGCAAGCAAUUCACAAAGACGCUAUGGGCAGCUCCUCCCCGUCAAACAUUACAGCCUGGCCCCUCGUGGCAUCGAAGGAUCCUCUGGCCCCUGCUCGAAGGAUUGUCAUCUCCGCAGUGGGGGCUAUUCUUACUGCACAGUUUGUAAAAAUAGGUAACCCAUGCUCAUGGAAAAGAAGUCUGCAGGCUACAGAAAGCGUGGCCAUGAAAAGCAAGACCCCCAGUCUCCCUUCCAAGAGGCCUCCACUUUCCAUGGAAUUGGAAUCCAAAGUAAGUUGAAUGAUGGGCCACCCCCCAAAGAUAUGCCCAUGCCCUAAUCUGUGGUACCUGUGAAUGUGAACUUAUUUGGGAAAAAAAAAUAAGGUAUUUGUGGAUGUAAUUACGUAAGGAUCUGAAGAUGAGGAAAUUAUCCUGGAUUAUCCAAGUGAGCCCCAAAUCCAGUGAUAGCAUCCUUAUAAAACAGAUGCAGGGAAGAGUAGGAGGCAAUGUGACUCUGGAGGCAGAGACUGGAGUGAUGUGGCUACAAGCCAAGAAAUGUGGGUAGUCACCAGAAGCUGCAAAAGGCAGUGAAUAGAUUCUCCCCCAAAGCUUCAGAAGGGAGCACGGGCCUGCUGACACCUGAAUUUCAGACUUCUGGCUUCCAGGAUGGUGAGAGGAAAAAAAUAUUGGUUUUUUAAAAUUUAUUUUUAUUUCUUAAAUUAC